rnacentral:ncRNA from 1 species
CUUUUGGUACCCGCAAGGGUGAAACUGGGAAGUUGGUGAAAAUCCAACACAGCCCCCGCUACUGUAAGUUUGGUGCAUUCCUCCACAAUACCACUGGUGAAACACUGGGAAGGUCGAUAGAGUGCAAGUCCGAAUAAGUCAGGAGACCGGCCAAUAGAU